rnacentral:rRNA from 1 species
UACGGAGGGAGCGAGCGUUGUCCGAAGUUACUGGGCGUAAAGCGCGCGUAGGCGGGAAAUUAAGUGAGAAGUGAAAGGCUGGGGCUUAACCCCAUGCAGUGCUCCUCAUACUGGUUUUCUUGAGGGUGGUAGAGAGAAGUGGAAUGGCUGGUGUAGCGGUGAAAUGCGCAGAUAUCAGGAAGAACACCAAUGGCGAAGGCAGCUCUCUGGGACGGUACUGACGCUGAGACGCGAAAGCGUGGGGAGCGAACAGG